rnacentral:rRNA from 1 species
UUGACGGGGCCGCACAAGCGGUGGAGCAUGUGGUUUAAUUCGAUGCAACGCGAAAACCUUACCACCUUUGACAUGGCAGGAAGGCUUCAGAGAUGAGGCUGUGCUCGAAAGAGAACCUGCACACAGGUGCUGCAUGGCUGUCGUCAGCUCGUGUCGUGGGAUGUUGGGUUAAGUCCCGCAACGAGCGCAACCCUUGCCAUUAGUUGCUACGAAAGGGCACUCUAAUGGGACUGCCGGUGACAAACCGGAGGAAGGUGGGGAUGACGUCAAGUCCUCAUGGCCCUUAUAGGUGGGGCUACACACGUCAUACGAUGGCCGGUACAAAGGGCUGCAAACCCGCGAGGGGGAGCCAAUCCAUCAAAGCCGGUCGUAGUCCGGAUCGCAGUCUGCAACUCGACUGCGUGAAGUCGGAAUCGCUAGUAAUCGUGGAUCAGCAUGUCACGGUGAAUACGUUCCCGGGUCUU